CCCAACCCACCACUUCAAUCAAAGCACAGAAAAGUGCACAGCUUUUAUGUUGCACUCACAGUCGAGGAAAAUUAAGACCAGAAACCACCCAAGUACCAAAUGCAUCACGGUUUGUUUGGAGACUUCAGCAUCCUGAUUCCCUCCAGGCUCAGCCGCUUUCAAUGGGAUAAAUUGCACAGAGGAGUCCCUCCAACCCAGAGCUUGGUGCACACCAUCUGCAGGCAGCCACGGUGCUCUGUUCCCAAGCAGAGCUGCUUCCCUGGCAGGCUGUGACCUGUUGCAGGACUCCUCCUUGCCUGCCUGGAGGGGACAGCUCCACCUGGCUCAGCUGCAGGAGGAGAGGGGCAGAACCUGCAGGACAAUUUUCCCCGCGCACUUUGGACAGCAGCAUCCAAGCCACCAGGAAUAUUUGCUUGAUCUGCACAAAACCCAGAGGAAAAACUGGCUCUUACAGCCACCAGCUGCUGCUGCUGCAAAGGUUUAUAGCUGGAAUAAAGAGAGAACACAUCCUCCCUAAAGCCAGACGACAGCCCAACCCAGACAGAGGCAAGAAAUCAUCUCUGUCCUUGGGGGACAAGAAAUGGAAUGAGAUUCCCUCCUGUCAGAACAAAAUCAGGAUGAGGGUCAGAAGAAAACGAACCCAGCUGGUGCUCAACGUGCUUGGCCAUGGCAGUCUCCUGAUCCAGAGGUGGCCAAACUCAGGAGAGCAAGGAGAGCACCAAGAAGCUCGGGGAAGCAGAGCCAGCCGUGCCUCAGCCCUCAUCCCAGCAGCAGGAUGGCAUUCCAGCUCCACCUGCAGGAAUUUCUGCGGCUGGGAAAGCCUUGAAGCAGCCAGCAGGAGAUUUACCAGGCAGAGCACGGCGCUGCUGCAGAGUGGGAGCCCGAGUGCCUGGAGAUGAACAUUCCGUGAUCCCAUCAAGCUCUCAUUCUCCAGCUGCCACUCACAGCGGCACUCCUGGAUGCACUAAUCUAGUGCCAUUAUCAUUCUCUAAAGGCAAGAAGCACUUUUAUUAAAGCA
rnacentral:lncRNA from 1 species